GCUACUCCCAUUGAAGUUCGUGAAGCUAUCUGUCCACAACCGGGAAAAGCAGCAUCUUCGCCUGAAACUGGCCAGUGGGCGAUCCUUCUAUUUGCAGCUGUGCCCACCCUCCGAUGCCAGGGAGGAUCUCUUCUCCUUAUGGGAGAAGCUCAUCUACCUCCUUCGGCCACCUGUGGAGGGCUACAGCAGCACCCACGCCAUUCCUGCUGGGAAGGGUCGAGGUGCCUGUUUUCAGUGCGGAAGAGGAAUCUCCUGGACCCCAGCCCCAGGAGCCUAUUCCGCAUGAAGGGGAGCAGGAUAAAGUGAGCAUAAAGAGUCUUGACGUUCCUGGCCGGGAUAGGAUGUCAGUGCAGCCAGAAAUAAUCACGGCGGCUGCUGCUGAGGAGGGCUUCCCUAGUCCAGGAGGCACCGAGACGGAGCUGCUGCCCCCACACUACACCAUCCACGGGGUGCCCAGUGUGUCCCCUCCCAGUACCCGGUCUGUUACAACCGUUGCUAUGGCAGCUGCCGCCAGCAAGGGGCCUGCCAGUAACGCCAUGGCCGGGGCCCCCGCGGGAAUGGGGACAGCUACAGCAGGCAGCCAGGGGCCUGGCCUAAGUGUAGCCCUGGCUGGGACUACAACUGGGCAGGUAACAGAGACGGCAGGUAACACGUGGGCAAGCAGUGGGAGUCUAAUGCUGGCUGGCGCUGCCAGUAUGUCCUCAGGCACCAGCAGCCUGAUCCCCUCGGGCCACAUGAGCAUGGCCUCUGCUGGAGCCGGGAGCUUCGUUGUAGCCCGCCUAGGAAGCGUCACCCCCCUCGGGCCCGAGCGCCCCCUUGUGUCGACCUUGCACACUGAGGGCUACAUGAGUGAGCGGGACGGAAGUCAGAGGGUGGCCAUGGCCAGCCCCAAGGUGGCCAAAAAAGACACGUCAUCGAGGAGGCACUCCCGGCACCGGAAAGGCCAAGCUCGCAGACGAGCCAAGAGGGAAGGUGGCAGCGGCCAGAGGAGGUCAUCCCGGCAGGCUGCGACUUCCAAGGAGACUCAGAAAUCCAGCCGCCACAGCCCGUCUUCCCGCAAAGCCACCAGCCGCAGUCCCUCCGUAAAGGAUUCCAGUGCUUCCAGGACCUCUGACAAAGGAGGGAUGGAUAAAAGCUCAGCCAAGAAACACCCCUUCCACUGCCUCAGCUAA
rnacentral:lncRNA from 1 species